GGUGUGAUACAAUUCAGAAAAUAAUUUGUAAUUAAGAAAAAUCAGACAAGAUGGAGAACAAGAACAAAUGUGGAGAUGACUUCCAGAGGCAAGAAAAAACACUUCACAGAAGAAUGUUUUCUUUCAGGUGAGAGUUCAUGCUUGUGGGUUUGACUCAAAGACAUCUCCCAAAGGACAAGGAAAUGUAUGUACAAUUUUCUUUCCACAAUAACUAGUACAACAUGAUUAGGUAGUAGCCAGAUGAUGGCAAACUAUGUUUGAAACAAAAAGAAUAAUUCUGCAUUAGUAAAACAAACUGCCAAGUCCAAAAUUGUAGACCAAAAUACAAUAACUAAAUCUAUCUUUUAAGAAUAUUUGAAAAAGUCAAGUGACUCUUGAAAAGAGAAGAGAUAAAAAACAAAAGACAGAGUAUCUAUCAAAAUGUUUAUAUAAAAUGGCAUGAAAGACAGUAGGCCUAGUGGUAUCUCAGAAAAUAAGUUGUCAAGGUCAUUUCUACUAAGGAAACAGAGAUUUCAGAAACUUUUGAUUGCUUAGAUAUUGGCAAUUUCGUAUAGAUUGUUAGGCAGAAAAAGAGAAGAGUUGAAAGAAAAUUAUUUGUUAGAUUGUAAGUUUACACCAGAUUCACCAUGUAUUUGCUAAAUGUUUCAGUUUGAGAAUUAAGAUGCUUUGAGAAAUUGCAACAACCUUAUUACCUUAUCAUUGGAUCAAGUCCAAACAGCCCCAAUCAAAAGUCUAAGGUUUCAUUGUCUGACCUAGUUAUUUCCAGCAUAGUAAUAACGGACUUAAUUGUAUUUAAUGUAUUUUACAAAACCAUUAUACGAAGCCAGGAAUAUCAUAGAUAAAACGGACUGCAGUUGAUUUGGAGAAACUAAGUUAUGUAGUAUGAGUAUAGCAUGUGUGAGUAUACCACGUUCACUUACAAAUGUCAUCCUCUGGUCACUUGACAAUCAUGCUCUGCUUCAUGAAGCGUUUCAUGGAGUAAAAGCAAGCAAGGAGGCAAGGACUGUGAUUUUUGAUGCAAAUAUGCCCAGAAAAAGUCACAUAUAGGAACUUACAUAUUUAAUGGUGGUGUUGAUGAAGGUGACAAGAUACAUUAUAAUACUUUAUUCCAAAGGCAGCACAUGGUACAAAAUCCUGCUGGAGAC
rnacentral:lncRNA from 1 species